rnacentral:rRNA from 1 species
UACAGAGGUGGCAAGCGUUGUUCGGAUUUACUGGGCGUAAAGGGUGCGUAGGUGGCAAUGUGUGUCGGAUGUGAAAGCCCACGGCUUAACCGUGGAAUUGCAUGCGAAACUACAUCGCUAGAGUACUGGAGAGGAGAGCGGAAUUCCUGGUGUAGCGUUGAAAUGCGUAGAUAUCAGGAGGAACACCGGUGGCGUAGGCGGCUCUCUGGACAGAUACUGACACUGAGGCACGAAAGCAGGGGGAGCAAACAGG